CGGCAAGGGCAUAAGUGAAAGUUUGCGGGACACAACCGUAUAUAAAGAGAGUACGAAUCUCCACUCAUCACUCCAUCACUGGCUUACCUGAGGAAUUGAUUUACCUACUACAAAAGACAAGCAGCACCACAAUCAUCACCACCAUGAAGGUUCUGGUCAUCUUUGCACUACUUUGUGUCGCCCUCUCUGCUAGGGCAGCAGCAGUUCCUGUGGAGAGUGAUGCUGUGGCGGUAGAAGAGCCAAAAGUGCCCCAG